UACAGAGGGUGCGAGCGUUGUCCGGAAUCACUGGGCGUAAAGGGCGCGUAGGUGGCGCUCCAAGUCUGUGGUGAAAGCUCGACGCUCAACGUCGGGUCGGCCAUAGAGACUGGAGGGCUCGAGCACUGUAGGGGCAGAUGGAAUUCCGGGUGUAGCGGUGGAAUGCGUAGAGAUCCGGAAGAACACCGGUGGCGAAGGCGGUCUGCUGGGCAGUUGCUGACACUGAGGCGCGACAGCGUGGGGAGCAAACAGG
rnacentral:rRNA from 1 species